AAGUGCAGUGCUUGAAAUGAGAGGGAGAGAGGUCUUGUAUGGAGAUAAAGAGUCUUGUUUGAUAGCCAAGGAUGACCUGCCUAAAUCCACUCGAGGGUUUGCCUUCUUCAAAUGAUUUUUCUUUUCUUUUCUUUUUUUUUGGGGUAAAUUUUAGUCUAUAUCUUCACAAACAUUUGGAUAUGUGAUAAGGUUGCAUUUUAGUACAAAAUUGUGUAUAAAACAUGUUUUAGUACUUUAGCAGUCUUACAAGCCGAAUGUAACAUAAUUGACUUAAGCCAAAUGUAACAAAAACGAUUGGUUAGGAGUCCUAAGGUUAUUUUUAGGCAGGUCAUCCAAGGCUUCAGAUUGGCUCUUAUCAAUCAUGCUAGACUUUCUCUUCCAUGUUUGGGAAGACAAUCUUGGUGAAACAGAAGGCUUGGAGUUGUACAGAGGUCUUGUUUUUCUGUUUGUUUAAGAAACAAAUUUUGGAUGUUGAAGUUGCUGUUUUCACAAAAAUGCUUAUGAAGGUGGGAUUGAUAGAGAAUGUGCAGUUGUGAAGAGCUUCAAGCAAAUGUUCUUUGAAGAAGAAAGGAGCCAGCCAAGUGACUCCUUGAACCAGUGGCUUCAUUAGGUUCCAAAAGCUCAAAAUCCCUUUUUUUUUUUGGGGAAAAAAAAGAAAAAAACCAAAAAAAAAAAGAGUGUAUAUCCAGUCCAACGCUGGUUUAGAUUGCUCAUCCGGUUCUUGACUAGUUCAUCGACGAUCUUGGUUGAAAUCACUACUUUUAGGCCACAUCUGGGACCUAGUUACUGCAGAAUUGGCCAAAUUUGUCCGACAUCAACAACACUGCUUGAAGUUCUGUGCCUUCAUCUUUCACUUUCUUCGACUCUUAACUGAAAGAUAGGAGAUAUGGAUAUAUGUAAACAAAUCCUUAUUAAACGAAUAUUGUAAUAUUAGUUGGUUAGGGAGCCAUCGAUCACACUAGCUAGCUUGACGGGGAAAAAACAAAGAAAUCAUUUGAACAUC